rnacentral:rRNA from 1 species
AUGGCGACAAGCACGCUUAGCACAGUUAUGGUGAGCAAUUUGUCACUGAAAGCAGCACUAAGAGAUGUAAAGGAAUUCUUUUCCUUUUCUGGCGACCUUGUGCAUGUUGAAAUGCAAAGUGGUGACGAGCUGUCUCAAGUUGCCUACAUUACUUUUAAAGAUAAGCAAGGAGCUGAGACAGCCAUGCUUCUGACGGGUGCCACGAUAGUCGAUAUGGCUGUCAUCGUAACACCAGCCACUGAUUAUGAGCUACCAGCUGAUAUUUUAGCUGCUCUAGAGCCCAAAGAUGCCAAGUCCUCUGCUCUGGAGAAGGCAGAGGACAUCGUUGGGACCAUGCUGGCCAAGGGGUUCAUUCUUGGUAGGGAUGCACUCGACAAAGCAAAAGCUUUGGAUGAGAAGCAUCAGCUCACAUCAACUGCGACUGCUCGAGUAUCUUCCUUUGACAAGAGAAUCGGUCUGAGUGAGAAGAUCAGCGUCGGUACUUCAGUCGUAAACGAUAAAGUAAAGGAAAUGGAUCAGAAAUAUCUAGUCUCCGAGAAGACAAGGUCAGCACUUGCAGCUGCUGAACAGGGCGUCUCCACUGCUGGAUCUGCCAUCAUGAAAAACAGGUAUGUCCUUACUGGAGCUGCAUGGGUAACUGGUGCCUUCAGUAAGGUUGCGAAUACCGCAAACGACGUCGGGGCAAAGGCGAAGGAGAAAAUAGCCGCUGAGCAGGAGGGCAAGACCGUAGCGGCCGGGUAUGCACAAGCUGACAUGUCGGACGCUCAUGAAAAGCCCAGGGAUUUGGAUGGUGAAAUCACAAAGAUACAUGUCUCUGAAAACCCUGAAGAUAUCCCCAUAUCUACCGCUGCAGUUUUCCCCAUUACAGUAGAGGAUUCCAGCGAUGCGUCUCCACCACCGCCCGCUGCUCCUAAGAAACCGGAACCUGCGCAGGGAUUGAUACUAUGA